CUGAAAAAUCAGACCACAGGCACUUUGGAUAAUUUUGACAGGAAUCUCUCUGCCUCAGCCCCCCAAUAUGUGAAAUGGGAAUAAUACCCCCUUUUCUCUAAGGGUGUUGUGAAGAUAGAUAGAUUAAUGGUUGUGAAGCACUCAAAUACUAUAGUGAUAGAAAACCCACAAAGAAAUUAAAUCUGUAUUUGGUGCAGGGCUUGGAUGGCGUGCAGUAUAAAUAAGGAUGGACGUCACAGACUGCUCAAUGAGGAUAAAACAAAAUACUGAGUAGCUGCUUAUUCAGCAAGCAACAUCCAUCCUGUGCUCUAAAUGAGGCAGGGAUCCUGCAGGGGGAAAAAAUAGUAUGUCAUCAUAUAAUUAAAGAUUGUAUCAUUGUGCACGUUCACAAGGGUGCCAAAUUAACAUUUCACAGGUGACCUUAAUUCUGCUGUUUCCUAAUCUGAGUGCUGUACUUGACUUUGUUUAUAAAGAUUUUUUAAUAUAGCAUUGUUUAUAUAAUUUGAUAUAAACCACAAUAGAUUUUAUGUGAAUAGUAGGUCAGUGUUUACAUCGAGUUUAGUAUCCUCCAGUUAUUUCUAAUUUAUGCUCCCAGUACUAUCAAAAAUGUGGUAGGAAAACUGAAUGCUAUAAUCUGGUUAGACAUAUAACAUGUACUGUAUAUAACUUGAAUACCUACAUGAUAUUUUGUAUUUACACUAUAUUGCACCUUUCAUCCAACAAUCUUAAAGUGUUUUAUAGAGGCAGGACAUGAUCUACAAGAAGCAGAUUAGGAGAUUUCUGUGGGACUAAAAAGAGACCAUGAUUAAGUGGAAAACAAGACUGAAAAGUAAAGAGAUGUUUUAAAAAACAGUAAGAUGUUCUGUAUUCAGAAUCAUGGCAUCAUAUCGGAGAUUAAAAUCCUUCUCAGAGACUACUUCAAUGCCAGUAUUCUAGGAGAAAGCAAAGCAGUUUUUGAAGGCUAUCCUUGGAGAUACUAGAUUACCUUUUCAGACCAAGCCAUUAACGCUGUCUUCCUAUCUAUGGUCCACUUGAAAUUCCCAAUCUCUCUUCUUCUUGACAGCCCCUGAGACAACAUAAGGUACAAACUCUAUCCUUAGAUGUACUCACACAAAUAUCAUUUAAGCCAAUGACGGAUGUAUACCUGUAUCCAAAGGGAGAAUUUGGCCAUAUGCUUUGGAAACAUGGCUCUAUUGUGUGAUCUUCUCUGAUGCACUGGAUUUUGAUAGGAGCAGCCCACGAUAACCAGUUAAUUGAUACUAGAAACAGUUUUGCACUUUGCUCUGUUGCAAAGUGCAGUAAUGUUAGAACAUACAGAUUUAUAGUCAGGGUUAACUAUGUAUUUUCUUCAAUAUUUGUCCAACUAAAGAGAUGCUCACUUUGUGGGUAAAUACAGCUGGUAGUGUAAACUAAAGAUUUGCAUUUCCUGGUGAUAUUAUUAUAAAUUAUUUCUUACCUAAGCACGCAUGACACAUCAAAAGGUGUAGCAUUUAUUUUGUUGGUUUCAAACUUUUGUUUAAUGGAAAGUGCAAACUUAGUAUUCGUAUUUAUUUAACUUAUUUCAGUAGGAGAUGUUAAAGUAUUUAUUUUCUGAAUGUAUAUUCCAUUUACCUUAAGUAAAUCCAUAUUGGCCAUACUGUAAUAGUGUAUCAGUCCAUUGAACCUUGACUGUACAGAUCUAAUUUAUAUAAGUUGUAUAUUUGUGUAUAUUUCCUCUCUGUAUUGUUACACUAGAUGAUUAGAAAAUAAGCUGUUCUGUCCUUACUACAGUAAGAAUUCUGGAAAAAUCAGUUCUGUCUUGAUUGGUGGGUCUGAAUAAUCAGCUCAGUUCUUGAGACCUUAGUUUGUUUUGACUUGUGUACUCUUAAUCAGAAGAUAAAGUUUUUGUAUUAAAUGUAA